UAGUCAUGUCGAAGUAUAAACAACUUUAUACUGUAAAACUGCGAACGGCUCAUUAUAUCAGCAAUAAUUUAUUUGAUGGUUUCUUACUACAUAUGGAUAACUGUAGUAAUUCUAGAGCUAAUACAUGCGUAAAGUCCCAACUCUCGCGGGAAGGGAUGUAUUUAUUAGAUAAAAAACCAAUGUGGGUUCUGCUCGCUUUUGUGUUGAAUCAUAGUAACUUUUCGAACGCCAUAGCCUUGUGCUGGGCGUAGAUCAUUCAAAUUUCUGCCCUAUCAG
rnacentral:rRNA from 1 species